rnacentral:rRNA from 1 species
GUGAAUUGCAGAACUCCGUGAAUCAAUGGCCUCCUGAACGUGCGUUGCACCCUUGGGAUUUCCUGAGAGUAUGUCUGCUUCAGUGCUUAA